rnacentral:rRNA from 1 species
GACAGAGGGUGCGAACGUUGCUCGGAAUUACUGGGCGUAAAGCGCGUGUAGGCGGGUCAUCAAGUCAGGUGUGAAAUCCCUGGGCUCAACCCAGGAACUGCAUCUGAAACUGGUGGUCUUGAGUGUCGGAGAGGGAAGCGGAAUUCUCGGUGUAGAGGUGAAAUUCGUAGAUAUCGGGAGGAACACCGGUGGCGAAGGCGGCUUCCUGGACGACUACUGACGCUGAGACGCGAAAGCGUGGGGAGCAAAC